UCUGCAUUCUUUAGCAAAGGUUUCUGCAUUCUUUCACUCACUUGUGCCUGAGUGCCCACUGUUUUGGAAAGGAUCUACGAUUCAGAUGGCCCUCAAAGUACUACUAGUCACUAAGGGAAAUUGGUUUUCCGAAUAAAAAAGAGCUAUAGAUAAAUGCUGGGGCUUUUAAGAAGAAAAGCCACUGACACGGAAAGGAGUUGUGAGAACUAACUACUGGGAAAUAUCAUUAAUAAAAAUAAUAGAGUGGGGAGGGAGUCACUACAAUAACAGUAACAGGGCUCUGCUGGGGCAUUUUGAAGUCUGAAGAAAAAGAACAACCAGUAAUAGUGAUCCUGUCUUUAUUUUACAUUUUGAUAUGUUUUAUCAUGCAUAAUUUUUUUGCAUUAACCUUUUAAAUAUUUCAUUAAAAUACUUACCUAGUUACUGAGCUCUUUAAUGUCCGCUGAAGUUUUGUGACCCUCCUACCCUCACCCACGUCCUACCCUCACCCACGUCACCCUACAGUGUUAGACUGUAGUAGACUGAUCUGCUUGGUUAACGGAAAAGGGGUGAGAAACAGCACACUGACAUGGUAAGGAGGGUUGGAGUAGUGGAUGGGGGCUAAGGAAGAGCAGUUGAUUGCCAGUUUGUGGAACCUGAACUUCAUUUUGUAGGCUGUAUGGGGUGAGCAAAGAUGCAGGGGGAAGCGAAUGACAUAAUCCAAAGGGAACUCCAGGAAGGUGGUUUGGAGGGGGAUGAAUGGGAGAAAUUGGGAUUCCUAAGGCAUAUGCACUCUUGUAGUUUUAUGAAAAUCCGAGGAAUUUCCCUAAUAGUCACUUGUGCUCAGCUUAUCGCUGGAGAGGCAUGCCUUAGGACUAGGUUAGUGCCAAAAUAGGGUUCCUGGGUCCUGGUCUAAACUUCAGCCAUUUCCUACCAGGUUUCCAUUGGCAAAUGGCUCUGUUUCUAAGCUGCACUUUCCUCAUCUGUGAAAUGGAAAAUGAUUUUCACAGUGUUGUUUAUGAGGAUUAAUAGAAAUAAGGUAUGUCUAAGGGCUUUGAAAACUUUGAGAGUUUAGAUUUAAGGCAUUGUCCUUACCUACACAUCAUCUAUAUGAAAUCUGAAUUUAAACAAGUUCUAUGGCUUUACAAAAAUUGUCAAGUAGCAAAGCUUCUUUGAUUUAGCAAGUUUUUUAGUGUGUUCAGGAUUCUGUUGACAAAUCUUUAGAAUGAGCUUUUGGGUAAUUCAACAAUUUUGUGAAUUAAGAUGUCCCUGUGGUUAUUGCCAGUCACCCAUCAGAAGAUAUGUGUGUGUGUAUGUGUAUCAGACCUAGCUCAAGAUGACUCCCACUCCCCCACUCUGCACAAUUCUCUCUCUCUCUCUCACCUACAGGUUAUCAGCGUAGACUGCCUCCACGAGACAACAGGGACUUCCCUUAGUGUCCUGGCUGACUCUCCCUGCAGAGACAUUGCAGUGGUACCAGAGUUGGUUCCAUUCUCUAUAAAGGUCAAGAAAGAAGAAGCAAUUUCUUUUCCUCUCUUGGCUCUCUGAAGAUUAACAGUGAAACCUGCUCCUGCUUCUCCAUCCCUGGGACACUCUUCAGGGACCUGCCCAGCCACCAGUGGCUCCAUAAUUUCCUGCUGCUAUUACCUCACCUUGGGAACAUGUGGUGUACAACCUGGCUGCUCAGAGGACGCUUCUCAGACUAGCAGCUGCCUCACUACUUGAAGCUUGUUGUGCAGAUUCCUGUCCACCCCAGACCUGGUGAUCAGAAUCUUCAUUUUAAUAAAACUGCCAAGUAAUUCAUUUGGCAUUGAAGCUUAAGAAGCCUGCUGAGAACACCCUGCCAAGAAAGACAAAGAGGAAACAAAAGCACUUUAAAGGAGUAAUCCCUAGAAGUGAUAUGACUAACGGAAAGGAUAUGUAUGUUUAAGACCCUUGUCAAGAUUUUAUUAGGAAGCAUAUUUUUAACUGCAUUGCUAAAAUUAACACAGUGGCUAGGAACUCAGAAUUUGAAGUUAAGAUUUUGGAACUGGCAUCCAGCCCAGCCAACUACCAGCCACAACCUUGGGUGAAAAAAAUUUCUUAAUCUCUUUGUGCUUCAGUUUCCUUAUCUAUAAAAUGUGUGUGAAAAUAUUACCUACAUUUUUUAUAUUAAAUAAACUUUUAUGUAGCAAUAUUAAAAAUAUGAAAACAUUAAUUAUUACUAGUAUUAUUAUGAUGGUUUUAAUAUAUGUCCACAAAUUCUUUGAUAUUCCUACUUUUUUAAGAGGUGGUGCCUGAUUUCUUCCCCCCUUGAGUGUGGGCAGGG